rnacentral:rRNA from 1 species
GAUGAACGCUGGCGGCGUGCCUAAUACAUGCAAGUCGAGCGAACAGACGAGGAGCUUGCUCCUCUGACGUUAGCGGCGGACGGGUGAGUAACACGUGGAUAACCUACCUAUAAGACUGGGAUAACUUCGGGAAACCGGAGCUAAUACCGGAUAAUAUAUUGAACCGCAUGGUUCAAUAGUGAAAGACGGUUUUGCUGUCACUUAUAGAUGGAUCCGCGCCGCAUUAGCUAGUUGGUAAGGUAACGGCUUACCAAGGCAACGAUGCGUAGCCGACCUGAGAGGGGGAUCUGCCACACUGGAACUGAGACACGGUCCAGACUCCUACGGGAGGCAGCAGUAGGGAAUCUUCCGCAAUGGGCGAAAGCCUGACGGAGCAACGCCGCGUGAGUGAUGAAGGUCUUCGGAUCGUAAAACUCUGUUAUUAGGGAAGAACAAAUGUGUAAGUAACUAUGCACGUCUUGACGGUACCUAAUCAGAAAGCCACGGCUAACUACGUG